GCCUGAAUUAGCAGCUUGACGAGGAACACGGAGGGAAGAAUAAAGGGCUAUCGGUGACAAGGCCAGUUUUUAGGGAAGCUGCUCCUCUAAGUGUAUUAUGAUUGCAAUAUAAAGAGCUGCAGGUUUCACUUAAAUGGAUUUGGAUUCUGCUUAUUUUUCUAACAGUAGAUUGCUUUCACUUCCAUAUUAAUCUCCUAUUAAACCACAAAAAUUCCAAUAUUUAUUUUCCUGGGAGCAGCUUAGGAAUAAUCUAACUUUACAGAAAAAUACGACUUGAAACCCCAAACCAGCCUCGCACGGAUCUGCCAAGCACCUGCGAAGGAAUGCAGCUGCAAAGCCCUGGGAAAACAACGGGAAAUGUGACAGUUCAUUAAUAUAAUUCAGCGCCGAGAUUGAUUUGGGAAAGCCAUUGCUGCAGGAGGACUCGGUGGCAUUCCCGAGGUGUGUGCAUGUCAUGUAAAUCCCAGUUUGGGAACUGGGACAACUCGCUGGGUCUGUCAGCAAAACAAAUAGAGGAGCACCGAUUGCUUCAGCACUUCAUUUUUUAGUCCAUAUUCAUUUUUCCUUGUUUUUAUUUUUUUUUAUACUUUGCUCUGGCUAUUUUUUCCUGGUGAAAGUGCAGGCAGCGUUUCAAACUGUGAUCUGCACAGAUGGGAAUGAAGGAACAUUCUCCAGGCGAAAAUUGUUCUCAGAGACAUUUGGGAUCGAGCAGGAUUUGUCUGCGUGAGGGGAGGAACAUCCUGAUUUUCCUACAGGGGUGCUCAAGGAUCCAACCCGUUCUGCCGUGGUGCAAGGUCUGAAUCGUGGUGUGGAGGAGUGCUCAGAGCUUCAGGGCAGCGUGGGCUGAUGCCAGAAGGAUCUGGAGAAAUUCCAAACUCAGGGAUACUUCCCUUGCUGACAGAGGAAUUGGAAUAUUUUGCAUCCUGAGUCAUCCAAGGAGCAUCAGUUUGGCAGCUCGACACAAAAACAGCCAAAUCCUCGGGGGAAACGUGCAGCGUGCACCUGAAGCCAAAAGCUCCAUGAAAUAUCAAAAAAUAUCCUGGAAUUGUGCUGGAAACGCUCUCCAAAAUUGGGGCAGGAGCGAGGGAGGAGGCUCCAACAGAGGAAGGAAACAGCUGGAGAUGACACAAACACGUCGAUAUUCCAGAUUUAGCUGGUUUGUCUGGAAAACACGUGUUGGAUUUCAAGGCUGUGUGUGUCCAAGGGGCCAGGAAGAGCAGGAGUGAUCCAUGCACUCAAAGGAAAAUCCGGAGACACCAAUGGAACAAUGGAUGUACAUUUCUCCUCCCAGUGGAAAUUCGAAUUGCUGGUAAAAAACUCAACCUGUUGCUUGAGCACCCAAAUUACCCUGAAAUGAUAAAGAGAUCACAGGGCAGGAAUGCUCAAAAUCUCACCUUUAACACUCAGAUAAUUCACUGUAUUUUAGAAAUGCUGUGAACUCCACCAGGUUUAUUUGAUAUCAGAUUCCCAAUAGAUUUUUGGCUCCCAGUUUGUUAAACUGGUGAUACAGUCACUGAUAAAAUUGAAUUAUACUCGUGAUUUCUGUUUCUGGUGUGAAACCCACACCAAAAUCAGGAAAAAGGGAUGUUCCAGUGCUCAGAGGAAGCUUCAAGUAGGAAUUAAUUUAUCUCUGGUAGCACUUGACAAAGCUGAGCUCCUUUAUAGUCACAUCUGUUAGUUCAGAGCAUUUAUUGGAGGAGCCUUGACAAAGACAAAAACAGAUGAUGGAAAUCUCAUCUGUCAAAAGUGUUAUUAAAGCUGGGAACAGGGCGAGGGUUGCUUUAAAUUGAAAGCAUCGUUUAUAUUUUAUCCAAGGUUUUGGAAAUAAUAAUAAUCCGGG
ensembl:lncRNA